AGACAACAGGAGGGGAAUGGCGGGAAUUGGUCUUGUUUCUCCUUAUUGGACUGGAACAAGGAAGUGACUGCUGACACUAAAAGAGUUCACAGACACGCUGCCUUUUGUAAAACUGCAAUUGUGACAGAUGAAGAGAAGAGCAAGACUUUGCGAGAAAGAGGAAAGACUGCAGAGUUCACUCAACAUCAAACCCUGCAAACAUGAGGGCUUCAUAUUAACAUGGUGAGUAGAUAAAAAUACUUUUGAUUUCAUCUCAAUUUAAAUAAAAGUAAAUUUUCUUACAAGAAAUGUUGAGGGAAACCAUAGUUUUUAAGGGAAUAAUCAUAUAAAGGGAAAAUAAAAUUGAGAAAAAUGUCAAAUACAGUCCAGUCAAAAACAAUGUAUGAUGUAACUGUUUUCUGCAAAAAUAAAAUAAAAAAUAUCAG